rnacentral:rRNA from 1 species
AACGAACGCUGGCGGCAGGCCUAACACAUGCAAGUCGAGCGGACCCUUCGGGGUUAGCGGCGGACGGGUGAGUAACGCGUGGGAACGUGCCCUUUGCUUCGGAAUAGCCCUGGGAAACUGGGAGUAAUACCGGAUACGCCCUUUUGGGGAAAGAUUUAUCGGCGAAGGAUCGGCCCGCGUUGGAUUAGGUAGUUGGUGGGGUAAUGGCCUACCAAGCCGACGAUCCAUAGCUGGUUUGAGAGGAUGAUCAGCCACACUGGGACUGAGACACGGCCCAGACUCCUACGGGAGGCAGCAGUGGGGAAUCUUAGACAAUGGGGGAAACCCUGAUCUAGCCAUGCCGCGUGAGCGAUGAAGGCCUUAGGGUUGUAAAGCUCUUUCACCGGGGAAGAUAAUGACGGUAGCCGGAGAAGAAGCCCCGGCUAACUCCGUG